rnacentral:lncRNA from 1 species
UUACUUCCAAUAAAAUUAGUUUUUUAGUUUACUUAAGCAAAGUUAUCCAGGCAUAUUUGAAAACAAAAGUCACUUAAAACUAAUUUCUACACUUAUUUUAUUUUAUUUUAUUAGUUUAUUAUUUUUAAAAUAAACUUUGCCAAACAAGAUCUGAUGAAAACUUGGAGAUAUAGUUUGGCGCUUGUAAUGAUUAUUAUGAGUGCAUGAAAAAAGUUGGCCAGUAUCACAGUGCUCAACUCUGUGUCAACUGUGGUAUUAUAUUUUCUUCUUAUUGGCAGGUGGACACAGCUGCAAAUGUCCAACCUGAAGAUGUAGAAGUUAUCUGGAACUUGAGAGGGAUACUGAACACCUCAUGGCACCGAGUUCAUGUUCGGGUUGGGCAUUCCAGUAUGUAGACAAAGCAGUCGGAUCUAACAUCCUGCACUGUCGGGGACUGGUUUAGAUGUGGAUAACAUGUAAUUUAUCGUGUUUUUAGGAAGUUUAUACGAUCAUCUGUACAAUAUUAUAUUUCCCAGUUUCCAAACGUGUGAAAGAAAUUAUGUUCUGUUCUUUAAAGAUUUCGCUGGAAUUUUUUGAGCUGUUUUGGUAAAAUGGGAUUCCUAUAGUGAGAGAUGACAUCCCUUUUAACGUAUUUCUAUAUCAAAUAUGUCAAUAAGGACACCUCUUUAUGUUAAUGUGACGAUAUCUUAGAAUUGAAGAAAUAGUGCAAACUUGAAAAUUUUACCCAGAUCUCAAGACCAGAAAUUUCUAGUUCUAUGUCACCAAAGAUACUUAUUAUCUAUGGCGUUACACAUCAGUAAUCUCUUUGAAUGAGGGCAAAUCUCUACAAUGAUUGUAACGAGACAAUAAAAGAUUGAUAACAGCCCCUUCAAGAGAUUACCAAAAGCAAUCCUAUGAAAGUUUGCUAAACAAAUGUAUGCUCAUUCUUCAAAUAAAUUUCCUCUUAAUUCAGGUAAAUAAUUGAAAUGUAAGCUCAGGCUUCCACAUAUUCCAUUUAAAGCAGCUUGCAGAACUGAGACGUGUUUUGUGCAUCAUCUUUCAAAAUUUAAAUACGUUUUACUUUUGAGAAAUGCUACUUUUAUAGGUUGUUUUAACAUAUGUAGUUACAGAAUGUUGAAUUGGCAAAAUUUCAAACAUUUUGUACAAAAAAAGAAAAAGAUAAAAAAGAUUAAAUCAGCCAAUGAAAUCUUGCCAGCUCAGCACCUGUAACUCUAUUUGUUAAAAAAAUCUAUACAAGUAACAUUUUUCCUUUAUUUUUUGGACCAUGCUAGAUGUACCUAAUUUUUUUUACCUAAUGCUUUUCAUACACUCACAAUAGAGAUGUCGGGGCCACAUGUUAGGAUUAUUUUAUUCACGCGAGUCCACGUGCUUGUGAGAGUAGGUAAACCAUUUGGUAAAUCAAAUUAUAUACACUUAGAAUUAUCCUUAAUUUUUUUGUCCUAUCGUGUCCAACAUAACAAAUAUGUCACAAGAAAAUAAUCUGGAUGGAGAAACCAAUACCAACCUUCGUAGCCUACUCCACUAGCUCAAUCAGCAUGCAGCAAUAUGAGGUUGCUAAUGAAGACACCAACUCAAGGUCCUCGUUACAAUGCUAAGUACCUGACUCUGCUUAUUUAGUAAAAUUCUAAAUCAAUAGACCUUUGUGUCCAAAAAUUUGAGCACCAUAUCUCAGAUUCUAAAGAAAAGGGACGUGAGAUCAAAUUUUUUAGUGCAAAAGCAAAUAGAUCGAAGAUGAAGCAUAUCCAUAAAAUAAAUAGUACAAUCAUCUAGCAAGAUCUCGAGUGUUUCACUUUAGGCUGGCAUCUACACAAUGACAUACAAUACAACAUUUGACCAGUCAAACAACAGCACUUAAAAGCUAGAACUGCUUUUGCACAUUGGCAAAGAUAAAUAAAUCUGUAAUGCAAAUUUGUCUGACAACCAGAAACAGCAAGUGAAACGACAGUGCUGAAUGACCAGAUAUACUAUCUGCUUCUUUUACAAGGAUUCAUGGUUCAUUACCACUGAAAAAUGCAAAUACCAGUCACAAAAAAGCUGUGCAGAUGUUCAACGAACAGUAAGUGAUAGAAGCAACUGCAUACUAGUUUUAGCAGCUCUAGUGUUUCAGCCUACUUGGCCUCCAGAAGCAUCUGCAGGCUGUUUACAGUUCAAAUAUCGAUAAAAGCUUUAGGGUUCCUGCCUACUCGUGUUUCCAGGAGCAUCUGUAGGUGGUUUACGAUUCAGAUAGCGUAUAACAGCAUCUUCCACCCUGUCAAGAAGAUACUCUGAUUUCAGUAACAAGUCCAGGAUUAUGGGGAUAUGAUAGGAAGUAAGUUUAACUCUAAAAUGGAAGCAGCUGAUAUCUCAUGUAGAAAACAUAACCUACCAAAUACCAAUACUUUCCUAUUUCCUUCGUAUUGAAUACAAGAGUCACUUAAAACUAAUUUCUACACUUAUUUUAUUUUAUUUUAUUAGUUUAUUAUUUUUAAAAUAAACUUUGCCAAACAAGAUCUGAUGAAAACUUGGAGAUAUAGUUUGGCGCUUGUAAUGAUUAUUAUGAGUGCAUGAAAAAAGUUGGCCAGUAUCACAGUGCUCAACUCUGUGUCAACUGUGGUAUUAUAUUUUCUUCUUAUUGGCAGGUGGACACAGCUGCAAAUGUCCAACCUGAAGAUGUAGAAGUUAUCUGGAACUUGAGAGGGAUACUGAACACCUCAUGGCACCGAGUUCAUGUUCGGGUUGGGCAUUCCAGUAUGUAGACAAAGCAGUCGGAUCUAACAUCCUGCACUGUCGGGGACUGGUUUAGAUGUGGAUAACAUGUAAUUUAUCGUGUUUUUAGGAAGUUUAUACGAUCAUCUGUACAAUAUUAUAUUUCCCAGUUUCCAAACGUGUGAAAGAAAUUAUGUUCUGUUCUUUAAAGAUUUCGCUGGAAUUUUUUGAGCUGUUUUGGUAAAAUGGGAUUCCUAUAGUGAGAGAUGACAUCCCUUUUAACGUAUUUCUAUAUCAAAUAUGUCAAUAAGGACACCUCUUUAUGUUAAUGUGACGAUAUCUUAGAAUUGAAGAAAUAGUGCAAACUUGAAAAUUUUACCCAG